AGGGGGACUUGGUCGUCGAGUGCCUGGAACUGAUCUCGGCCAGGCACUCCCACGAACACCGGUCACCAUGGACUCACGGCUCGUUCUAGUUCCAGUUCACCUAUACGAACGGCGUUCAGGAGUUACAGACUAACGAACAUGGGGAGCAUUCUACACAAACCAGUUUUCCUUUAUCUUAUGUGGUUUUCGUACAAAACCCCGCGAACGAAGACCGGCUCUUGCCACCAUUUCCAUGGAACUAUUUUGGGCU